GCCUGACGGAGCGACACCGCGUGGAGGAUGAAAUUUUUUCGGAAUGUAAACUCCUUUUGGCAGGAAUGAAACAAAUGACAGUACCUGCAGAAUAAGCAUCGGCUAACUACGUGCCAGCAGCCGCGGUAAUACGUAGGAUGCAAGCGUUGUUCGGAAUUACUGGGCGUAAAGAGUACGUAGGCGGUAAUGAAAGUCUGAUAUUAAAGACUGGGGCUUAACCUCAGGAGUGUAUCGGAAACUUCAUAACUAGAGGACAGUAGAGGAAAUUGGAAUUCCCAGUGUAGCGGUGAAAUGCGUAGAUAUUGGGAGGAACACCAGUGGCGAAAGCGAAUUUCUGGGCUGUUACUGACGCUGAGGUACGAAAGUGUGGGGAGCAAACAGGAUUAGAUACCCUGGUAGUCCACACGGUAAACGAUGGAUACUAGGUGUAACCGGCUUCGACCCCGGUUGUGCCGCAGCUAACGCAUUAAGUAUCCCGCCUGGGGAGUAUGGCCGCAAGGUUG
rnacentral:rRNA from 1 species